rnacentral:rRNA from 1 species
AAUGAACGCUGGCGGCGUGCCUAACACAUGCAAGUCGGAUGUGCCGCAAGGUGCAUGGCUGACGGGUGCGUAACGCGUAGGGUAUCUACCUUUUUGUGGGGCAUAACGCUCCGACAGGAGUGGUAAUACCGCAUGAGACCGUGAGCUGGGAUGUUCACGGUGAAUUCUGUGGUCCGCAAGGACUGGGGCAAAGAGAGGAUCCUGCGUCUGAUUAGCUAGUUGGCGGGGUAUUGGCCCACCAAGGCGACGAUCAGUCGCCGGCCUGAGAGGGUGAUCGGCCACACUGGAACAGAGACACGGUCCAGACUCCUACGAGAGGCAGCAGUGGGGAAUUUUGCGCAAUGGACGAAAGUCUGACGCAGCAACGGCGCGUGUGUGAUGAAUGUCUUCGGACUGUAAAACCCUGUCGUCAGGGGCGAAGGUGGCAGUGUGAAUAGCGCUGUUACUUGACAGUACCUGGAGAGGAAGCCCCGGCUAACUCUGU